rnacentral:rRNA from 1 species
UACGUAGGGGGCAAGCGUUGUCCGGAGUUACUGGGCGUAAAGCGCACGCAGGCGGUCUCUUAAGUUUGGAGUGACGGUUGGUGGCUUAACUGCCAAAGUGCUUCGAAAACUGAGAGACUUGAGGGCUUCAGAGGGACACGGAAUUCCGGGUGGAGUGGUGAAAUGCGUAGAGAUCCGGAGGAACACCAAAGGCGAAGGCAGUGUCCUGGGGAGUACCUGACGCUCAGGUGCGAAAGCCAGGGGAGCGAACGGG